UGGGGAAUUUUGCACAAUGGGCGCAAGCCUGAUGCAGCGACGCCGCGUGAGGGAUGAAGGCCUUCGGGUUGUAAACCUUUUUCGCUCAUGGUCAAGCCGCAGCUUUGGGUUGUGGUGAGGGUAGUGGGUAAAGAAGCGCCGGCUAACUACGUGCCAGCAGCCGCGGUAAUACGUAGGGCGCGAGCGUUGUCCGGAAUUAUUGGGCGUAAAGGGCUUGUAGGCGGUUGGCCGCGUCUGCCGUGAAAUCCUCUGGCUUAACUGGGGGCGUGCGGUGGGUACGGGUUGACUUGAGUGCGGUAGGGGAGGCUGGAAUUCCUGGUGUAGCGAUGGAAUGCGCAGAUAUCAGGAGGAACACCGGUGGCGAAGGCGGGUCUCUGGGCCGUUACUGACGCUGAGGAGCGAAAGCGUGGGGAGCGAACAGG
rnacentral:rRNA from 1 species